UGGGGAAUUUUGGACAAUGGGGGAAACCCUGAUCCAGCCAUCCCGCGUGUGCGAUGAAGGCCUUCGGGUUGUAAAGCACUUUUGGCAGGAAAGAAACGUCAUGGGUUAAUACCCCGUGAAACUGACGGUACCUGCAGAAUAAGCACCGGCUAACUACGUGCCGGCAGCCGCGGUAAUACGUAGGGUGCAAGCGUUAAUCGGAAUUACUGGGCGUAAAGCGUGCGCAGGCGGUUCGGAAAGAAAGAUGUGAAAUCCCAGAGCUCAACUUUGGAACUGCAUUUUUAACUACCGGGCUAGAGUGUGUCAGAGGGAGGUGGAAUUCCGCGUGUAGCAGUGAAAUGCGUAGAUAUGCGGAGGAACACCGAUGGCGAAGGCAGCCUCCUGGGAUAACACUGACGCUCAUGCACGAAAGCGUGGGGAGCAAACAGG
rnacentral:rRNA from 1 species